AGAGUUUGAUCAUGGCUCAGGAUGAACGCUGGCGGCGUGCUUAACACAUGCAAGUCGAACGUGAGAGGGUAGCAAUAUCCUUGAAAGUGGCGCACGGGUGAGUAACACGUAGGUAACCUGCCCUGAAGCGGGGGAUAACAGUUGGAAACGGCUGCUAAUACCGCAUGAGACUGAUAAGCCGGGAGGCUUGUUGGUGAAAAUCUUGGUGCUUCAGGAGGGGCCUGCGGCCGAUUAGCUAGUUGGUGGGGUAAGAGCCUACCAAGGCGACGAUCGGUAGCUGGUCUGAGAGGACGAUCAGCCACACGGGAACUGAGACACGGUCCCGACUCCUACGGGGGGCAGCAGUGAGGAAUAUUGGGCAAUGGGCGGAAGCCUGACCCAGCAACGCCGCGUGGAGGAAGACGGCCUUCGGGUUGUAAACUCCUUUUACGGGGGAAGAGGAAGGACGGUACCCCGAGAAUAAGUCACGGCUAACUACGUGCCAGCAGCCGCGGUAAUACGUAGGUGACAAGCGUUAUCCGGAAUUACUGGGCGUAAAGCGCACGCAGGCGGCGCAUUAAGUCUGACGUGAAAUCUCUCGGCUUAACCGGGAGGGGUCGUUGGAGACUGAUGUGCUUGAGGCGAUGAGAGGGGCGUAGAAUUCCCGGUGUAGUGGUGGAAUGCGUAGAUAUCGGGAGGAAUACCAGUGGCGAAAGCGGCACCCUGGCAUUGGCCUGACGCUCAUGUGCGAAGGCGUGGGGAGCGAACGGGAUUAGAUACCCCGGUAGUCCACGCGGUAAACGAUGAGUACUAGGUGUGGGUGGAGUGAAAUCCAUCUGUGCCGAAGCAAACGCGCUAAGUACUCCGCCUGGGGAGUACGGCCGCAAGGCUAAAACUCAAAGGAAUUGACGGGGGCCCGCACAAGC
rnacentral:rRNA from 1 species